UCCCCUUUUAGGUCAUCCAUGGGGAAUUGCCUAGGCUCCAAGGAUGGCCUAGGUUGUGCCUACUGCAUGCAGGCAGUGCUGUUGUGUUGUGAGACUCAGGUAGUGGAUCCUACACAAAUAGCAACCACCACUGAAGAGCCUGCCAUAUUACAUUCUGGAGUGGCAGAAGACCAGCAUGUGCAGCCCAUCAAGCGACGCAAAGGUUUGGCUGGCCGCACCAGGAGCUGGUUAAAAAAAAAAUGGAGGAAUAGGAAAAUCUGUUGUAUUGAAAAGGAAGCUCCUGUUCAAGAACCAAAGGAGUGCAAAACUGAAAAGUUUCAGGAGACAUCACCUGACAUAGAAAAUGCUACAGAUGAAUAUCAACACACUCCUGUUGACGACUCAGAGGAGUGUACACAUGGCAGUAAGAAGGAAGAGGUUGCCUCUGACAUGGAGAAGCCAGCGGCCCAGUAUCACAACCGUCCUGUUAAGGUCUUACAAGACCUUAUCAUAGAAGACAUAGAGGAUGAGGAGCUGUUCCCUGAUGUGGAGAAGCCAGCGGCCCAGUAUCACCGCCGUCCUGUUAAGGUCUUACAAGACCUUGUCAUAGAAGACAUAGAGGAUGAGGAGCUGUUCCCUGAUGUGGAGAAGCCAGCGGCCCAGUGUCACCACCGUCCUGUUAAGGUCUUACAAGACCUUGUCAUAGAAGACAUAGAGGAUGAGGAGCUGUUCCCUGAUGUGGAGAAGCCAGCGGCCCAGUAUCACCGCCGUACGUAUUCUGUUUCUUUUAAAACCUUACCGAG
rnacentral:lncRNA from 13 species